CACGUAGGGGGCGAGCGUUGUUCGGAUUUAUUGGGCGUAAAGGGCGUGUAGGCGGUUCGGUAAGCCCGGUGUGAAAGGCGCACGCUUAACGUGCGGAACGCGCCGGGGACUGUCGGACUAGAGUUUCGGAGGGGAAGCUGGAAUUCCAGGUGUAGGGGUGAAAUCUGUAGAUAUCUGGAAGAACACCGGUGGCGAAGGCGAGCUUCUGGCCAGAGACUGACGCUGAGGCGCGAAAGCGUGGGGAGCAAACAGG
rnacentral:rRNA from 1 species